rnacentral:Y_RNA from 1 species
GACUGGUCCAAGUGCAGUGGUUUUUACAACUAAUUGAUCAUAACCAGUUACAGGUUUCUUUGCUCCUUCUCCACUCCCACUGCUUCACUGACUACCUAA